rnacentral:misc_RNA from 1 species
AAGUCGUAACAAGGUUUCCGUAGGUGAACCUGCGGAAGGAUCAUUAUUGAAUAAAUCUGAUGUGGUUGUAGCUGGCUCUCCGGAGCAUGUGCACGCCCAUCACCUUUAUCUCUCCACCUGUGCACACACUGUAGUCCUGGAUACCUCUCGCCGCAAGGCGGAUGCGAGGCUUGCUGUGUCUUCGCAAGAAGGCCGGCUCGCUUCGAAUUUCCAGGUCUACGAUACUUAUACACCCCAAACUGAAUGUUACAGAAUGUUAUCACUGGGCCUUGUGCCUAUAAACCUAUACAACUUUCAGCAACGGAUCUCUUGGCUCUC